rnacentral:rRNA from 1 species
AGAUUAAGUUAUUAAGGGCGCACGGUGGAUGCCUUGGCACUAGAAGCCGACGAAGGACGUUACUAACGACGAUAUGCUUUGGGUAGCUGUAAGUAAGCGUUGAUCCAGAGAUUUCCGAAUGGGGGAACCCAGCACGAGUUAUGUCGUGUUAUCGACAAGUGAAUUCAUAGCUUGUCAGAAGGCAGACCCGGAGAACUGAAACAUCUUAGUACCCGGAGGAAGAGAAAGAAAAAUCGAUUCCCUGAGUAGCGGCGAGCGAAACGGGAAGAGCCCAAACCAAUAAGCUUGCUUAUUGGGGUUGUAGGACACUCUAUACGGAGUUACAAAGGAAUAUAUUAGACGAAUCAUCUGGAAAGUUGAAUCAAAGAAGGUAAUAAUCCUGUAGUUGAAAAUAUAUUCUCUCUUGAGUGGAUCCUGAGUACGACGGAGCACGUGAAAUUCCGUCGGAAUCUGGGAGGACCAUCUCCUAAGGCUAAAUACUCUCUAGUGACCGAUAGUGAACCAGUACCGUGAGGGAAAGGUGAAAAGUACCCCGGAAGGGGAGUGAAAGAGAACUUGAAACCGUGUGCUUACAAGUAGUCAGAGCCCGUUAAUGGGUGAUGGCGUGCCUUUUGUAGAAUGAACCGGCGAGUUACGAUCUGAU